rnacentral:misc_RNA from 1 species
AACGCACGAGACCUGCGGACCUGCGGAGGGAUCAUUACCGAGUUAUCCAACUCCCAACCCCUGUGAAUUAUACCUUUAAUUGUUGCUUCGGCGGGACUUCGCGCCCGCCGGGGACCCGAACCUUCUGAAUUUUUAAUAAGUAUCUUCUGAGUGGUUAAAAAAAAAAUGAAUCAAAACUUUUAGCAAUGGAUCUCU